rnacentral:rRNA from 1 species
GUCGAACGAUCCUUUUAGCUUUUGAGACUUCGGUCGAUUUUGCUUUUAGGAUAGUGGCGAACGGGUGAGUAAUGCAUAGGUAACUUUCCUCGAAGUCAGGGAUAGCUCGUCGAAAGACGGGAUAAUACUUGAUUGUCCAUUAGAAACGUAAGUUUUUUUUGGUAAAGCUCAGGCGCUUCGAGAUGGGCUUAUGUUCUAUCAGCUUGUUGGUAAGGUAAUGGCUUACCAAGGCUAAGACGGAUAGCUGGCGUGAGAGCGUGGUCAGCCACAGUGGAACUGAGACACGGUCCACACUCCUACGGGAGGCAGCAAUUAGGAAUCUUGCGCAAUGGGGGCAACCCUGACGCAGCGACGCCGCGUGGAGGAUGAAGGUUCUCGGAUCGUAAACUCCUUUUAUGUGGGAAGAAUGAAUGACGGUACCACAUGAAUAAGUACCUGCUAACUACGUGCCAGAAGCAUCGGUGAUACGUAGGGUGCGAACAUUAUCCGGAGUUAUUGGGUGUAAAGAGAAGCGUAGGCUUUUUCGUAAGUCAAAUGUUAAAGACCUCUGCUCAACAGAGGGAAGGCACUUGAUACUAUGAGAAUGGAGAUAGGAAGGGGCGAGUGGAAUUCUCGGUGUAGCGGUUAAAUGCGUUGAUAUCGAGAGGAACACCAGAGGCGAAGGCGACUCGCUGGUCCUAUUCUGACGCUAAGGCUCGAAAGCGUGGGGAGCAAAACGGAUUAGAUACCCGUGUAGUCCACGCCCUAAACAAUGGAUGCUGGGUGUUCGAUACAACUGAUUCAGUUCUUCGGAAUUGUCUUGGAAGUAUUGAGUGCCGAAGCUAACGCGUU